rnacentral:rRNA from 1 species
UACGUAGGGUGCAAGCGUUUAAUCGGAAUUACUGGGCGUAAAGCGUGCGCAGGCGGUUUUGUAAGUUUUGUCGUGAAGGCCCCGGGCUCAACCUGGGAAUUGCGAUGAAGACUGCAAGGCUUGAAUCUGGCAGAGGGGGGGUAGAAUUCCACGUGUAGCAGUGAAAUGCGUAGAGAUGUGGAGGAACACCGAUGGCGAAGGCAGCCCCCCUGGGUCAAGAUUGACGCUCAUGCACGAAAGCGUGGGGAGCAAACAGG